rnacentral:rRNA from 1 species
UACGUAGGGCGCAAGCGUUGUCCGGAAUUAUUGGGCGUAAAGAGCUCGUAGGCGGUUUGUCGCGUCUGCUGUGAAAACUCGAGGCUCAACCUCGGGCUUGCAGUGGGUACGGGCAGACUAGAGUGCGGUAGGGGGUGACUGGAAUUCCUGGUGUAGCGGUGGAAUGCGCAGAUAUCAGGAGGAACACCGAUGGCGAAGGCAGGUCACUGGGCCGCAACUGACGCUGAGGAGCGGAAAGCAUGGGGGAGCGAACAGG